CAAUAGCGUAUAUUAAAGUUGUUGCAGUUAAAAAGCUCGUAGUUGGAUUUCUGGGAGGGUGCCAAUGUCCGCCGACGUGCGUGCGCAGCGGCGCCCUCUCAUCCUUCUGUUAACGUCUCUCGGCAUUCAUUUGCCGGUGGCGGGCUCAGAUAUUUUACCUUGAGAAAAUUAGAGUGUUUCAGGCAGGCUAGGCCGGAAUACAUUAGCAUGGAAUAAUGGAAUAGGACUUCGGUCUCUUUGUUGGUUUGAGGGACUGCAGUAAUGAUUAAUAGGGAUAGUUGGGGGCAUUCGUAUUUAACUGUCAGAGGUGAAAUUCUUGGAUUUGUUGAAGACGAGCUACUGCGAAAGCAUUUGCCAAAGAUGUUUUCAUUGAUCAAGAACGAAAGUUAGGGGAUCGAAGAUGAUCAGAUACCAU
rnacentral:rRNA from 1 species